GUUUUUCUGCAUUUGGCUCUCCCCCUCGGCUUUCUUGGUGGUUCGUGACCCUAUUAUCUUUAUUUGUUUUUUGGAGAAGCUUCUGUUCGCUAUACCAUGGGGAAAUAUUUCACCUGCGUCAUAUCAGGAGACGAAAUUAUAUCGGAUUCUUAUAAAAAUUUUAGAGAAAUUGAUGAUUUUUUUUAUGAAUGUGAAGGUGAAUAUAUAAACGUUAACGAGUCGAUACCAGAUUCUGUUUUUGGGGGUAAUCCUUCUGUUGAAGAUGCUAUCGACACAACUUCAGGAAUUCCUGUUGAAAGGAAAAUUAAUGUUAUUUUUAAUUAUGAUCUUCAAGCUGUACAUAUGGAUCAGAAAACAUUGGUAGGGUGUAUAAAAAAUUAUGUUAAAGCUGUUGCCACAUAUUUGGAAGAGACAAAUCCUGAGCGCGUUCCUAUUUUUAAAAAAUUAGCCAACGAAUUAAUAAAAAAACGCAUUUUCUCAAACUUUAACAAUCUUGAAAUUUUAUCGGGUCCCUCUUAUACUCUUGACGGAACUCUUUUAUUUCAAGAUUAUCGUGAAGAUGGUGUGACGCCUUAUUUUUUUGUUAUGAAAGAUGGACUUAAGGAGCACAAAGUUUGAAAUAAAAAAGGAUUUUUUUCGUG